rnacentral:rRNA from 1 species
GACGAACGCUGGCGGCGUGCUUAACACAUGCAAGUCGAGCGGUAAGGCCCUUUCGGGGGUAUACGAGCGGCGAACGGGUGAGUAACACGUGGGUGACCUGCCCUCAGCUCUGGGAUAAGCCCGGGAAACUGGGUCUAAUACUGGAUAUGACUCCACGGUGCAUGCCGUGGGGUGGAAAGCCUUGUGCGGCUGAGGAUGGGCCCGCGGCCUAUCAGCUUGUUGGUGGGGUGAUGGCCUACCAAGGCGACGACGGGUAGCCGGCCUGAGAGGGCGACCGGCCACACUGGGACUGAGACACGGCCCAGACUCCUACGGGAGGCAGCAGUGGGGAAUCUUGCGCAAUGGGCGAAAGCCUGACGCAGCGACGCCGCGUGAGGGAUGACGGCCU